UACGUAGGGGGCAAGCGUUGUCCGGAUUUAUUGGGCGUAAAGAGCGUGUAGGCGGCCAGACAGGUCCGUUGUGAAAACUCGAGGCUCAACCUCGAGAUGUCGAUGGAACGCCGUCGUGCUAGAGUCCGGAAGAGGAGUGUGGAAUUCCUGGUGUAGCGGUGAAAUGCGCAGAUAUCAGGAAGAACACCCGUGGCUAAGGCGGCUCUCUAGUACGGUACUGACGCUGAGACGCGAAAGCGUGGGGAGCGAACAGG
rnacentral:rRNA from 1 species